GGCCCCGUGGUGUAGUGGUCUUACAUGCUGCCCUGUCACGGCGGAGAUCGACAGUUCAAAUCCAUUCGUUCGGGGUCGCCA
rnacentral:tRNA from 1 species